UACGGAGGGGGCGAGCGUUAUUCGGAAUUAUUGGGCGUAAAGGGCGCGUAGGCGGCCUGAUAAGUCAAAGGUGAAAUCCCUCGGCUCAACUGAUGAAUUGCCUUUGAAACUGUCAGGCUUGAGGCCGGGAGGGGGUGGCGGAAUUCCCAGUGUAGCGGUGAAAUGCGUAGAUAUUGGGAGGAACACCAGUGGCGAAGGCGGCCACCUGGACCGGUUCUGACGCUGAUGCGCGAAAGCGUGGGGAGCAAACAGG
rnacentral:rRNA from 1 species